rnacentral:lncRNA from 1 species
AAGACCCUAAGCAGCACCUAGAGUAAAAAGACCCUAAGGAGAAAACUACACAAAAUUAGACAUAUAAAGUUUGAAGAAGUCCACCGCUGAAGGACAGACCCCCACCCCCCUCCCCGGCCUUCAUCUUUAUUCUUCUCCAGACUUAGACCAAGACCUCACAAGCUUCAACGAUUUUUCUGAGCUUCAGCAACCCAAACAACCCCUGCUCUCUUAUUCCAUCUUCACAACCCUCACCCCUAAAACCAGCAAUAGACCACCCCUCACAUCGGACAACACACCUCCCAUCACCAUUCGCUGCUUCUGCUUCUUCCCGUUCACAACAACCCACUGGAAAAGCAGACACACACAUGCAUAGUAAUAAGAGGGGUACAAAACGGACAUAAAUAAAAAAGGAAGGUUAGGACCUGAAAGUUUUUAUUUGUUUUCUCUGAAUUUUUAGAACAUAUACAUGUAAAUAUUCUCUAUUUUAAAAGUAAAUUGGAUUGAGCUUAAGCAAAACAAAAAUGUCUUUCAUUUCCUCUUUGCGAUUCCGAGUUCUUGGUUUCAAUUUUUGAGUUUGAUUGAGGUUGAGCUGAGUUCGAGUUCAUCGACGAGAUUCAUGUUUCUCCGGCGAAUUACGAGUUUGUCGAAGCUGCAUUAGUUUGAGAUUUCGGGCUGAUUCACGAGUCUAUCACAAUGUUAUUUUGGAAUUUGGAACUUUGUUCUUCUCCUUCCAGGUCCGCCUCUCAUUUUCUUUCUUGGAUCCUUAUUUUUUUUAUCUUUUUGUGGCUGGCUGAUUUGUUUAAACAUGUGGAUACUUUUACUUAAAUUUCUAUUUGUUUGAGUUAUUUUAAAGAUUUUUUGUCAGUCAAUGAUAAAAAUACCCAAAGGGUCGAACUCCAUUGCAUGAUUUUGUCAAGUAUGGGAAAAUCCAUACGGUUUCUUCUAUUUUUUAUACACUCUUGACUUGUAGUGAUAAUGUAUGUGUUAAUUCUAUUAUUGUUGACAUGUUGGUGUUACCUUAUGUUAAUAAUUCUAAGCUGGAUUUAGCUCUAGAGGCUUUCAAUAGAGCUAGAGAUUAUGAAUUUAAGUUAUUUGUAUUUUCGUGUAAACAGAUGCUUAAAGGGAUGGUGAAUGAGGGGAAAUUUGAGGUAGUAGAGCUUUUGUAUAAUGAGAUGAUUAAGAGUAGUGAUUUUAAAAUUAAAUGGGCUGUAAAUUGAUAAGUUAGAUAGAAAAGAUAGUUGAAUUUGAUUUGAUAAAAUAACGCGUUGGUUGUAGCUUAAUACAUAGAUUACAUCAUUUCUUUCACAAUUUUUCUAAUUCAUGGCCUUACUUUAAUUUCAACAAUUAGGCUAAUAAUUCAAAUGUGCUAGUUGCUUUAGGUACGAUUAAUAAUAACUCAUCACAGCUACGGGUACAGUUCCCGUGACAUAGUUGUGAUACACAAUUCAAAAUCUGGGGGUACAUUUAUGUCACCCGGUUACAAUUUCAUCUUGUUAAUAAAAUAAAUAUGUUGUGGAUCGUGGGUACUGUUUCCCUGAGUUGAUUCGCAACAUGUAAUCAAAUAAUUAGUUGUACAAUAAUUGGUAUAUUAAAAGUGGUUUAAAAGGAAUAAAAAUACACAUAGAUUUUAAAGAUGCUUUAAAAUUAGAUAAAUAGGCCAAUAAUAAUAGUUCCGCGAAUGUGCUAGAACCACGGAACCCGAGAAUGCCUAACACCUUCUCCCGGGUUAACAUAAUUCCUUACCAGAUUUCUGUGUUCGCAGGCCAUAAAUAGAGUUAACUUUCCUCGAUUCGGGAUCUUACACCAGCUACUUGGGACACCAUAAACGAUCCCAAGUGGAGACUCUGAAUUUUAAAUAAAAUAAUCAUAUUUCAAUUGUCACUUAAAAUGGAUGAAACUCCCUUAAUACCCUUCGCAAGUACAAAAAUGAGGUGUGACAGCUCUGCAACUCUCCUGGGGAUAGGAACCCAGAAUCUUUGAUUCAAGGUUCAGAAUUCGAGCUUAGAAUAAUUGUUAUAAUUGGUUUUAUUUAUUAUCUUAUUUUUACGUGUUUGAGCCUAAUAUGCUAAAUGCCGCUUUUUACCAUUUUGAUAUUAUUUGAAUUGUAUAUAAACUGAUGUGUAACCCUUCCCUUCUCAUCUUCGGGGAAGUGCAGCCUAGCAUGACUUCUUUCUUUUAGUAUCAUACCCUAAUUUAGAAAGAGGAUCGUACACGUUACAAAGCCGGAUGGCCUUUUAGUUCCCGGUACAUAGCCCCUCACCCAACCAGGAUCGAGUUGUUCGCUUGGGUGCACCAAGUCUAGAACAAUACACCCAGGUUUUAAACCUAGAAUAACUCAGCCUCAUGUUGAAUCCCUAGUAGGAACACUUAUUUGCAUCAUUUCAUUUGACUUUGGGGACUCAACAUAGGGGUUGGGUAUGUCUAGGAUAGGUGUACCCACAAAAUAAAAGACUACCCUGUUGCAUCUUAUGUGCUACAUGUUGCAAUCUUCAAGGGUAAAAGAGAUCAUAUGGCAGACCAAUGAUGGUUAAAGAUAAAUGAGAAAAAAGAGGGUGAAGUAUAAAAAAUAAAUCAAGUAGGGCCUAGUUAGGUUCUUUUUUCACUUUUUUUUAAUAAAAUGACCAAAAAAAUGAAAUAUCCAAAACUAUAUUGCACUUUCUCAUCAUUUUCUAAAAAAAUUAAAAAAGAAAAAGAAAAUCCAAAAAGAGUUUACAUGUUUCAUCAUUUUUCAAAACAAAGGAGACAAAUAUAUUUUUCUCUAAAUUGUUUGUUUUUUUAAUUUUCUUUCGUGUCCAAUUUGUCUGAACUACGCAUACCUGAUUCUCGUCUUUCGGGGCGUGAUACAUAGGCAACCCAUAUAGGGUUCGAUCUUUCUAGUGAAUCUUAGGUUCUUGGCUUCACGGGGUCUUAGCCAAAUCUUGUAUUUUUAGUCACUUUUAGCCACAUAGAUUAAUUUUAGAACUAGAGCCACAAUCAUGUCUUCAAUGAGUCCAAGAGGAAGGAUUAUUGUCUCACAUAGCAUUUUAGGUUUUUAACUUUAUUUGCCUUCAUUUUCUCAUAUAGGUGUGAUUUACUUACCGAAGUUUGAGCAUGACAGAUACCCAAUGACCAUCCAGUCAGGAUCGCUCAUUUAGGAGUUGCUUAAAGAGAUUUGUUUUACUUUUUAUGUUGAGUGUUGUUCUUCAUUUUAUGUUGUCUUUACUUUCGAGUUUUGUACAAUAAUGUCGAGUAUUUUGUUAUUGUAUUUUCUACUUUAUAUUUGAAAAUGUGUGUUGUAACUCAAAAAUCCUAAAAAAAAAGAGGUUUCGUGUAUUAUAUUUCUGUUAGAAGUUUUCUUUAGAAUACUAAUUCUAGAAAUUAAAAAUAAAAUCUU